rnacentral:rRNA from 1 species
UAAGACAGAGGGUGCAAACGUUGUUCGGAAUUACUGGGCGUAAAGCGCGUGUAGGCGGUUAUGCAAGUCGGGUGUGAAAGCCCGGAGCUCAACUCCGGAAGUGCAUUCGAUACUGCGUAGCUAGAGUACUGGAGAGGAUGGUGGAACUCUCGGUGUAGAGGUGAAAUUCGUAGAUAUCGAGAAGAACACCGGUGGCGAAGGCGGCCAUCUGGACAGAUACUGACGCUGAGACGCGAAAGCGUGGGGAGCAAACAGGAUUAGAUACCCUGGUAGUCCACGCCGUAAACGAUGGGUGCUAGGUGUCACGGGUAUUGACCCCUGUGGUGCCGAAGCUAACGCAUUAAGCACCCCGCCUGGGAAGUACGGCCGCAAGGCUA